UACCACUAACUCUCCUCAUUUGUGAAAAAAAUCUUGUCGUCGCGUCCAACCUUCCUCUCUAAUUCUUGUUCAUUUAGGUCAUCAACAUCAUGCUUUACUUGCAUUCUUGUUCUGCUGAAUCAACUUUCAGAAAUGCGUUCUCCGGUGGAUGGGUUUGCUGAUGCUUCUCUGCUCUUUACUAAGGGUUUCUGUCUUGGGGAUCUGUAAUAAUACUCUAUGUACUAAUAUCCUUAUCCUUAUUUUCUUCUAAUUUUGGAUCCCUAUUGAUCAGAGGGGGAGCUAUCUUAUUAAAGGAGGUUCAGAUGAACCCGCUUCGACGAAAAAUUAUAUUAUUUAUAUAUGGUUAAAAUAAUUUUUAUAUAUAUAUUAUAGAUGUUGAACCCCCUUCAAUGAUUUUUUCUUCAGAUUUUGAACCGCCUAAGUAGAAAUCCUAGCUCCGCCUCUGCUAUUGAUCCCUUUUUCCUACUAAGACAUUUAGCAUCUUCACUUUUUUUAGCCCUAUGACUUUUGUAGUUAGUUUUGUAAAGCAAACUAUGAUGUAGCCUCUCUUUCCCCUUAACCCUUGCUUGGGGAAACUCUGAUGUAUAUGCAUUUUAACUUGUCGUUGUUUACUAGACUCCUCCCCUCUGGCUCCAAACUAUUAAAGCUUUUAAAUAUGUACUUUCUUCAUUUCAAAAAGAAUAACCUAGUUUGACUUGA